rnacentral:rRNA from 1 species
UACAGAGGUCUCAACCGUUGUUCGGAUUCAUUGGGCGUAAAGGGUGCGUAGGCGGUCGUGCAAGUCGGAUGUGAAAUCUCAGGGCUCAACCCUGAAACUGCAUUCGAUACUGCGUGGCUAGAGUGCUGGAGAGGAGACUGGAAUUUACGGUGUAGCAGUGAAAUGCGUUAGAUAUCGUAAGGAAGACCAGUGGCGAAGGCGAGUCUCUGGACAGCAACUGACGCUGAGGCACGAAGGCCAGGGGAGCAAACGGG